GACGGAGGGGGCAAGCGUUGUUCGGAAUUAUUGGGCGUAAAGAGCUUGUAGGCGGUUUGUCGCGUCUGCUGUGAAAUUUCGGGGCUCAACCCCGAACUUGCAGUGGGUACGGGCAGACUAGAGUGUGGUAGGGGAGACUGGAAUUCCUGGUGUAGCGGUGAAAUGCGCAGAUAUCAGGAGGAACACCGAUGGCGAAGGCAGGUCUCUGGGCCACUACUGACGCUGAGAAGCGAAAGCAUGGGGAGCGAACAGG
rnacentral:rRNA from 1 species